CGACCUCAGAUGAGACGUGGCGACCCGCUGAAUUGAAGCAUAUUAGUCAGCGGAGGAAAAGAAACUAA
rnacentral:ncRNA from 1 species